GACAGAGGAGGCAAGCGUUGUUCGGAAUUAUUGGGCUUAAAGCGCGUUUAGGCGGCCGCGUAAGUGCUUUGUGAAAGUCCACGGCUCAACCGUGGAAUUGCAGGGCAUACUGCGCGGCUUCAGGUCGGUAGAGGUGGCCGGAACUCUAGGUGGAGCGCUGAAAUGCGUAGAUAUCUAGAGGAACGCCGCAGGCGAAAGCGGGCCACUGGGCCGAUUCUGACGCUGAGACGAGAAAGCGUGGGGAGGAAACAGG
rnacentral:rRNA from 1 species